UUUGGUUUUCAUGUCUAUUUUUCCGGAGUAGGGUGAGGGAAGGGUCUAUUAAAAUUACAAUAUCAAAUAAGGACAGAAACAAAUCCAUCAUUUCUGUUUUUAAAGGUAGACAUCUAUGUUUGAUUAUGCAAGGCUAUGGCUUUCUCACAGUAGUAAUAAAAAUAGAAUAUCUUCCGAUUUAAUCAAGGCAUACGUGCAAAACCGAAGUUUACUGCCAAAGAGUUAAAAUUAUUGUAUGUAAGACAUAAAACAGAUGCGUGGAAUGAAACAACUCACUUGAUUCAUGUGCUGAUAAAAACCAUAAUCCUUCAGAAGGAGCCAACAAAGAUUUCACAACAUAGGAACCACGGAAGUUGUUGAAGAGCAUGACUGUUCACUGUCAACCUAAGCCAGGCAUCCAACAAAGCAGCUAGUAAAAGAUUCUGAAUGAUCAUGGUCUACCAAAGUUUACCUAGUGACUAAUCAGUUUCUUUCUGAACUACAAUACUGAGAGAUGCAGUGAACACCUAAUUACUCAGAGGUUAGGCGUCGCCUCUUCCCAUAUUCAGCAUCCCUUGAUCUUGACCUAUGCUCGUCCUCAUGUGAUUGUCUUGAUUUUCCGUGAGUCCUGGAUGAUCUUACCCUGUCCCAUUCGUCAUCGUAUUCAGGCUCACGGUCCCUGUACCUAUGAUGAUCAGCAUAUCCAACUCUGUCAUCCCGAUGGCGAUCAUGGUCACGUUCCCUCCCACGAUCACGCUCGCGGCCUCGGGAAUGACCAGGAUCUCGGUCCCGGUCCCUCUCCCUGUCUCGUCCACCAACACUGCCAUCGCGAUGCCUCCUUUCUGACCACUCAUGAUCAUGCCCCGUAUCUUUUUCUCGAGGCAUAUCUCUGUCAUGGCCUGGUUCUCUAUCAUCUCGAUACCUCCUGUCUGAAGAGCCAGACCUAUCCCUUUCUGAACCUCUGUCCUUCUCUUUUGUAGCAUUUGUCCAAGGCCCUUUAUCAUGACUUCCUUCUCCAUACUGAUGGUCAGAUGCAGCUUCUUCUCCAUAACUAGACUCUCCUGCUCUCCCACCAUGCUCCCCACCUGUCCAUCCACCCAUGUUAGGAUCUGACCACGUGCCCAUAUUAGGCCCAUCAAAUCCAGGAGCAUGCAUCAUGCCCAUGCUAUUCAUGGGCAUCCCUCUCCCAAAAAAUGCCGGAUUCACGUGGGGAGCAACACCAGGCAAACCAACAUUUCCAACAGGUCCAAAUGAAGAUAACAUUCCUGAAAAGGGUGGGGUAGGCGCACCAGGAAAUCCUCCAUAACUACCCAUUCGCCCCAUGGGGGCUCCAAAAGCAGGAUCGAAUCCCUGACCCAUCAUUGUUUGAGGAUGUAAUAAUGAAGGAGUUGCACCAAUCCCCUGCGCAAAUCCAUUACCGUUUCCCAUUAAACCACGACCACCUAUUCCACCACCCCUGUUCCUCAUUGGACCCACAGGCCCCCUAUUUCCCAUACCUCCUUGACCAUUACCUCUACCCCAACUCCCUCUCCCAAAACCUCUGUGACCAUCACCACCGCCUUGAUAGUUCCCACUCAUAGCCAUGUUGCCACCUCCGCCAUGUUUACCAGGCACAUCUCCAGGCCCCCUUCGCGGUUGAUUAACCGCUGGCUGGGCUGCAUUUUGGUUUCUAUUUAACUGAGCUUCACCCAUUUUCUUAAUACUAUAGGGCGAAGCAUAUGCAACUACACAUGGCCGUCCAUUAAACAAAUGCCCAUUCAUUCCUUCUUUACAGGCAGUGGCACUAUCAGGGUUAAAAAAUUCCACCUGACAGUAACCUUUUGACUUCCCACUAGCUUUCUCAUCAAAAAACUUUACCUCCUUUACUGGCCCAUACUUGCUUAGCUCUUCCUCCAGCUCAGCAUCAGUUGUCCACCAAUGCAAAUCACCAACAAAAAGAAUUGUUCCUCCACCACCACCACCUGUCAUGCUGCCAACACCACUUCCAGGCAUGUAACCUCCGGUCCCUGUCACAUUCGCCACAAUUCCAACAUUUGCUGGGCUUGCUGCAGCUCCGAUAUUAGCAGCACGUGGCUGCUGAUGCUGAACCAUUGGUGGAUUAUUUUGAGCACUGUUAUUCACAGUCUGCUCUACGAACUCGGCUGGUUUAUUGGAUGACUGCUUUAGCUCAACCCUGAGCCCCCCAACACAUGGCAUCCCGGAUUCAUUUCUAGCCGUCACUCCCAAACCUCUACCAGCCCCAAUCUCAUUACUGAUGUCAUUUCCCCUAAACCCUAUAUUCUGAUGAGCCUCUACUCUAACAGGAACCCUUGCCGACUCUCCCUCGUCUUGUAUAGCCCCACCCGCACUCCUCACUACCGGCUGUGGUGCUUGACGCAGAGGAGGAACCGGCUCGGCUUUGUUCUCCGAUAAUUGCUCAUUUCCCUGACCUAGAUUAUCCUCGUUCUUUCUGAUCGACUGGAGGAAGUUCUCACCAAUAUUAACAUCAUUAUACAGAUCUUCGUAGUCAUCUUCCUCUUCGCCAAGGAAACCCUCGUCAGCUACAGCGGAGAUGGCUUCGUUCCGAUGAAACUGCUCGCCAGCUUCAUUUUCAUCCAUUUCUCCGCUGAAAGCCUAGAAUUAAGCCUAGGGUUUUUCCUAUUUUGGCAAAUUUAUUUCUAUUUGAAAGUGGGUCCGCGGAACAAUCUCAAAGUCUUCAUAAAUAAUCGAGGAAAGCAAAGAAAUUUCUAGAUCGGUUUUAAGAGAUCUUACCGCAAAACUUGCCCUCUUUGAUUAGGCGUGUUGAGCGAGAAGAAACCCUAUCCCAGAACAGUGUAUGGUGAGCCACUUUUAACCAUUUCAGCUUAGGUGCCUGCAUUUACCCUCAAGAAGAAUUUGAAUAGGGGCGAGCCCAGCAGACCAGUG
rnacentral:lncRNA from 1 species